rnacentral:rRNA from 1 species
AUUGAACGCUGGCGGAAUGCUUUACACAUGCAAGUCGAACGGCAGCACGGACUUCGGUCUGGUGGCGAGUGGCGAACGGGUGAGUAAUGUAUCGGAACGUGCCCAGUCGUGGGGGAUAACGUAGUGAAAAUUACGCUAAUACCGCAUACGAUCUAUGGAUGAAAGCGGGGGAUCGCAAGACCUCGCGCGAUUGGAGCGGCCGAUAUCAGACUAGGUAGUUGGUGGGGUAAAGGCCCACCAAGCCAACGAUCUGUAGCUGGUCUGAGAGGACGACCAGGCACACUGGAACUGAGACACGGUCCAGACUCCUACGGGAGGCAGCAGUGGGGAAUUUUGGACAAUGGCGAAAGCCUGAUCCAGCCAUUCCGCGUGCAGGAUGAAGGCCCUCGGGUUGUAAACUGCUUUUGUACAGAACGAAAAGGUUUCUACUAAUACUAGGAGCUCAUGACGGUACUGUAAGAAUAAGCACCGGCUAACUACGUGCCAGCCGCCGCAGUAA